GAGGGUAUAGCUCAGUGGUAGAGGGUGUGCUUAGCAUGCAUGAGGUCCUGCGUUCAACCCCCAGGACCUUCA
rnacentral:tRNA from 1 species